rnacentral:rRNA from 1 species
UUCGGGGCUCUUUGGUGAUUCAUGAUAACUUAACGGAUCGCAUGGCCUUGCGCCGGCGACGGUUCAUUCAAAUUUCUGCCCUAUCAACUUUCGAUGGUAAGGUAUUGGCUUACCAUGGUUUCAACGGGUAACGGGGAAUUAGGGUUCGACUCCGGAGAGGGAGCCUGAGAAACGGCUACCACAUCCAAGGAAGGCAGCAGGCGCGCAAAUUACCCAAUCCCGACACGGGGAGGUAGUGACAAUAAAUACUGAUACAGGGCUCUUUUGGGUCUUGUAAUUGGAAUGAGUACAAUUUAAACCCCUUAACGAGGAACAAUUGGAGGGCAAGUCUGGUGCCAGCAGCCGCGGUAAUUCCAGCUCCAAUAGCGUAUAUUAAAGUUGUUGCAGUUAAAAAGCUCGUAGUUGAACCUUGGGCCUGGCUGGCCGGUCCGCCUCACCGCGUGUACUGGUCCGGCCGGGCCUUUCCUUCUGGAGAGCCGCAUGCCCUUCACUGGGUGUGCCGGGGAACCAGGACUUUUACUUUGAAAAAAUUAGAGUGUUCAAAGCAGGCCUUUGCUCGAAUACGUUAGCAUGGAAUAAUAGAAUAGGACGUGCGGUCCUAUUUUGUUGGUUUCUAGGACCGCCGUAAUGAUUAAUAGGGAUAGUCGGGGGCAUCAGUAUUCAAUUGUCAGAGGUGAAAUUCUUGGAUUUAUUGAAGACUAACUACUGCGAAAGCAUUUGCCAAGGAUGUUUUCAUUAAUCAGUGAACGAAAGUUAGGGGAUCGAAGACGAUCAGAUACCGUCGUAGUCUUAACCGUAAACUAUGCCGACUAGGGAUCGGGCGAUGUUACUAUUUUGACUCGCUCGGCACCUUACGAGAAAUCAAAGUUUUGG